UACGCUCUAUUUCUUCAUAGCGCGUCCAGCCCUCGGCUGGAUGCCUGCCCUGCUGCCUUUUUAAUUCCCCAGUGAAGGAGCACCUGGCUUUGCAGUCCCCCUCCUUUGACCUCCGCCCCGUAUCCCCGUGCCUCGCUGUGCUGAGGUUCCCGCCGUGCCGCGGCCGUGCAGCCCUGCCCCUCCCGGGUCCUGCUGGUGUAGGUGAUGACUGAACUUUUUUCCCCAUCAGAGCGACAGUGUUGAUUACUCAUCACUCUAGCCAGGUCUUGUCUGAUACGCCAGCGGGGAAGUGCUGUGUUAUCCCUCGUCCUGCGUGUUCCGUGCUCACUGCUCCUUUGUUUUGUUCCCAGGCCCUGUAUGAUGGCCGGCUGCAGCUGCCCGCCUUGCUCCGCCACGGGUGAGAUUCGACGGCGUGGCGCUGGGGCUCGGCCAGCCCGUGCGGGCACGUGGGAGCUGAUGUUCAUAGCUGCGGACGCAGCAGGGAGCCCAUGGGCGGAGCUGUGCCUUCCCCAGGCAGACCGGGCUGGUUCGGCAGUUCUCUACUCUGCCGCUUGCUGUGCACUCCAGUGCUUUUCCUGUGCCAUGAGCCUGUAGAGCAGGCAAAUCAGCUAGCUCCUUCUGGGGAAAGAUUUGUGCCUCUAUGAAGGCAGAAAGGCAUUGGGCCUGCUGGAGACCUGAUGAGAUGGCUGUAGCCAGCAGUGGAUCAGCUGUGUGAUGGGCAGUCAUCCUGGCUUGCACCACCAUGCAUGAACCUUUAACAGACCUCUGUGAAGGCAGAGGGACGUUGGGCCUGCUGGAGACCUGAUGAGAUGGCUGUGGCCAGCAGUGGAUCAGUUGUGUGACAACUGCAGUUGCUCUUGGCUUUCUCUGCUUUGCGUUUCCACUUUUGAUAGAGGAGCAAAGGUUGAGUAGAUCUCUCAGAAGGCCUCAGGAUUUGCUGUUAUUUCAAAGUACUAGCUGAAAGCUGUCUUCUGCUAGUGAUGUUUCUCUCCAUGCUGCUGCCUGUAAUCCUUGUCCACACUACAGCAUCCAUAUCACUGAAACAACUCUUGUGUCUUUUCUCUUGGUCUUGCCAACUCACAGAUGGCAGGUGUUGUGUUUUUCCCUUCAUAUGAUGUAUUUAAUCAUAAUGGAUUCUGGAAUUUGCUGCAUGUUCUAUGUAAUAGGAUGAUUUUUGUCUGCAAGGGCUGUAUUCACUACCUGACAACUAAUGUUACUUGACAUUAAAAUAAGCCUGAAAAACCUGUUGUCAUAUCCGAUGGUCUUGUGUACAAGGUUUUUUUAAUAAAAUCUGAGUACUGUAUGAACUCAA